rnacentral:rRNA from 1 species
CCUACGGGCGGCAGCAGUGGGGAAUAUUGGACAAUGGGGGCAACCCUGAUCCAGCCAUACCGCGUGUGUGAAGAAGGCCCUCGGGUUGUAAAGCACUUUCAGUGAGGAAGAACGCCUGGUGGUUAAUACCCAUCAGGAAAGACAUCACUCACAGAAGAAGCACCGGCUAACUCCGUGCCAGCAGCCGCGGUAAUACGGAGGGUGCGAGCGUUAAUCGGAAUUACUGGGCGUAAAGCGCGCGUAGGUGGCUUGAUAAGCCGGUUGUGAAAGCCCCGGGCUCAACCUGGGAACGGCAUCCGGAACUGUCAAGCUAGAGUGCAGGAGAGGAAGGUAGAAUUCCCGGUGUAGCGGUGAAAUGCGUAGAGAUCGGGAGGAAUACCAGUGGCGAAGGCGGCCUUCUGGACUGACACUGACACUGAGGUGCGAAAGCGUGGGUAGCAAACAGGAUUAGAUACCCGGGUAGUC